rnacentral:rRNA from 1 species
GUGGGGAAUCUUGCGCAAUGGGCGAAAGCCUGACGCAGCCAUGCCGCGUGAAUGAUGAAGGUCUUAGGAUUGUAAAAUUCUUUCACCGGGGACGAUAAUGACGGUACCCGGAGAAGAAGCCCCGGCUAACUUCGUGCCAGCAGCCGCGGUAAUACGAAGGGGGCUAGCGUUGCUCGGAAUUACUGGGCGUAAAGGGCGCGUAGGCGGACAGUUUAGUCAGAGGUGAAAGCCCAGGGCUCAACCUUGGAAUUGCCUUUGAUACUGGCUGUCUUGAGUACGGGAGAGGUGAGUGGAACUCCGAGUGUAGAGGUGAAAUUCGUAGAUAUUCGGAAGAACACCAGUGGCGAAGGCGACUCACUGGCCCGUUACUGACGCUGAGGUGCGAAAGCAUGGGGAGCAAACAGGAUUAGAAACCCGUGUAGUCC